rnacentral:rRNA from 1 species
CGCUCAGGACGAACGCGGCGGCGUGCCUAAUACAUGCAAGUCGAGCGGACAGAUGGGAGCUUGCUCCCUGAUGUUAGCGGCGGACGGGUGAGUAACACGUGGGUAACCUGCCUGUAAGACUGGGAUAACUCCGGGAAACCGGGGCUAAUACCGGAUGGUUGUUUGAACCGCAUGGUUCAAACAUAAAAGGUGGCUUCGGCUACCACUUACAGAUGGACCCGCGGCGCAUUAGCUAGUUGGUGAGGUAACGGCUCACCAAGGCAACGAUGCGUAGCCGACCUGAGAGGGUGAUCGGCCACACUGGGACUGAGACACGGCCCAGACUCCUACGGGAGGCAGCAGUAGGGAAUCUUCCGCAAUGGACGAAAGUCUGACGGAGCAACGCCGCGUGAGUGAUGAAGGUUUUCGGAUCGUAAAGCUCUGUUGUUAGGGAAGAACAAGUACCGUUCGAAUAGGGCGGUACCUUGACGGUACCUAACCAGAAAGCCACGGCUAACUACGUGCCAGCAGCCGCGGUAAUACGUAGGUGGCAAGCGUUGUCCGGAAUUAUUGGGCGUAAAGGGCUCGCAGGCGGUUUCUUAAGUCUGAUGUGAAAGCCCCCGGCUCAACCGGGGAGGGUCAUUGGAAACUGGGGAACUUGAGUGCAGAAGAGGAGAGUGGAAUUCCACGUGUAGCGGUGAAAUGCGUAGAGAUGUGGAGGAACACCAGUGGCGAAGGCGACUCUCUGGUCUGUAACUGACGCUGAGAG